CUACGGGGGGCAGCAGUGGGGAAUAUUGCACAAUGGGCGCAAGCCUGAUGCAGCCAUGCCGCGUGUAUGAAGAAGGCCUUCGGGUUGUAAAGUACUUUCAGCGGGGAGGAAGGGAGUAAAGUUAAUACCUUUGCUCAUUGACGUUACCCGCAGAAGAAGCACCGGCUAACUCCGUGCCAGCAGCCGCGGUAAUACGGAGGGUGCAAGCGUGUAAUCGGAAUUACUGGGCGUAAAGCGCACGCAGGCGGUUUGUUAAGUCAGAUGUGAAAUCCCCGGGCUCAACCUGGGAACUGCAUCUGAUACUGGCCAGCUUGAGUCUCGUAGAGGGGGGUAGAAUUCCAGGUGUAGCGGUGAAAUGCGUAGAGAUCUGGAGGAAUACCGGUGGCGAAGGCGGCCCCCUGGACGAAGACUGACGCUCAGGUGCGAAAGCGUGGGGAGCAAACAGGAUUAGAUACCCGUGUAGUC
rnacentral:rRNA from 1 species